rnacentral:rRNA from 1 species
UGCAAGUCGAACGGUGAAGCGAGAGCUUGCUCUCGUGGAUCAGUGGCGAACGGGUGAGUAACACGUGAGUAACCUGCCCCAGACUCUGGGAUAAGCCUUGGAAACGAGGUCUAAUACCGGAUAUGAGACGAGAUCGCAUGGUCAUCGUCUGGAAAGAAUUUCGGUCUGGGAUGGACUCGCGGCCUAUCAGCUUGUUGGUGAGGUAACGGCUCACCAAGGCGACGACGGGUAGCCGGCCUGAGAGGGCGACCGGCCACACUGGAACUGAGACACGGUCCAGACUCCUACGGGAGGCAGCAGUGGGGAAUAUUGCACAAUGGGCGCAAGCCUGAUGCAGCGACGCCGCGUGGGGGAUGAAGGCCUUCGGGUUGUAAACCCCUUUCAGCAGGGAAGAAGCGGAAAGUGACGGUACCUGCAGAAGAAGCGCCGGCUAACUACGUGCCAGCAGCCGCGGUAAUACGUAGGGCGCAAGCGUUGUCCGGAAUUAUUGGGCGUAAAGAGCUCGUAGGCGGUCUGUCGCGUCUGCUGUGAAAACCCGAGGCUCAACCUCGGGCCUGCAGUGGGUACGGGCAGACUAGAGUGUGGUAGGGGAGACUGGAAUUCCUGGUGUAGCGGUGGAAUGCGCAGAUAUCAGGAGGAACACCAAUGGCGAAGGCAGGUCUCUGGGCCACUACUGACGCUGAGGAGCGAAAGCGUGGGGAGCGAACAGGAUUAGAUACCCUGGUAGUCCACGCCGUAAACGGUGGGCACUAGAUGUGGGGCUCUUUCCAUGAGUUCCGCGUCGCAGCUAACGCAUUAAGUGCCCCGCCUGGGGAGUACGGCCGCAAGGCUAAAACUCAAAGGAAUUGACGGGGGCCCGCACAAGCGGCGGAGCAUGCGGAUUAAUUCGAUGCAACGCGAAGAACCUUACCAAGGCUUGACAUAUACCCUUUAUCCCUAGAGAUAGGGAGUCCUUCGGGGGGGUAUACAGGUGGUGCAUGGUUGUCGUCAGCUCGUGUCGUGAGAUGUUGGGUUAAGUCCCGCAACGAGCGCAACCCUCGUCCUAUGUUGCCAGCACGUAAUGGUGGGGACUCAUAGGAGACUGCCGGGGUCAACUCGGAGGAAGGUGGGGAUGACGUCAAAUCAUCAUGCCCCUUAUGUCUUGGGCUUCACGCAUGCUACAAUGGCCGGUACAAAGGGCUGCGAUACCGUAAGGUGGAGCGAAUCCCAAAAAGCCGGUCUCAGUUCGGAUUGAGGUCUGCAACUCGACCUCAUGAAGUUGGAGUCGCUAGUAAUCGCAGAUCAGCAACGCUGCGGUGAAUACGUUCCCGGGCCUU